CACCGCGGUUAUACGAGAGGCCCGAGCUGACAGACGCCGGCGUAAAGCGUGGCUAGGAACUCCGCCCCCAUAAAGCCGAAUGGCCCCAAGACUGUUAAAUGUUUACGGGAGCCAGAAGAACAAAAACGAAAGUGGCUUUACAACUUCUGACCCCACGAAAGCUAAGGCA
rnacentral:rRNA from 1 species